rnacentral:rRNA from 1 species
UAAUACAUGCAAGUCGAACGGUGACGAUUUUGUAGUAAUACGAAUGAAAUCAUAGUGGCGAACGGGUGAGUAACGCGUUGGUGAUCUGCCUCGAAGUGUGGAAUAACGCUCCGAAAGGAACGCUAAUACCGCAUGUGCUCUCAUUGUUUAGAAAUUUGAGAGGAAAGGAUUUAUUCGCUUCGAGAGGAGCCUGCGUCCCAUCAGCUAGUUGGUAGGGUAACGGCCUACCAAGGCAAUGACGGGUAGGGGGGGACCUGAGAGGGUGGCCCCCCCACAAUGGAACUGAAACACGGUCCAUACACCUACGGGUGGCAGCAGUAGGGAAUAUUAGAAAUGGGCGGAAGCCUGAUCUAGCAACACCGCGUGUGCGAUGAAGGCCUUCGGGUCGUAAAGCACUUUUUGGAGGGAAUAGGAAGGAAGGUACCUCCAGAAUAAGUCUCGGCUAACUACGUGCCAGCAGCCGCGGUAACACGUAGGAGGCAAACGUUAUCCGGAUUCACUGGGCGUAAAGCGCGUGCAGGUGGUUUCGUAAGUAGGGCGUGAAAGCUCCCGGCUCAACUGGGAGAGGCCGUACUAAACUGCGGAGCUAGAGGAUGGUAGAGGGAGGUGGAAUUCCAGGUGUAGUGGUGAAAUGCGCAGAUAUCUGGAGGAACACCAGUGGCGAAGGCGGCCUCCUGGACCAUACCUGACACUCAGACGCGAAAGCUAGGGUAGCAAACGGAAUUAGAGACUCCGGUAGUCCUAGCCCUAAACGAUGCAGACUAGGCGUCGGCGGUUUAAUCACCGUCGGUGUCCAAGCUAACGCGAUAAGUCUGCCGCCUGAGGACUACGGCCGCAAGGCUAAAACUCAAAGGAAUUGACGGGUCCCCCCCGCACAAGCAGCGGAGCGUGUGGUUUAAUUCGAUGCUCCGCGAAGAACCUUACCUGGGUUUGACAUAACAGUGGUAGAGAAACGAAAGUGGACCGACCCUUCGGGGAGCUGUUACAGGUGUUGCAUGGCUGUCGUCAGCUCGUGUCGUGAGAUGUUCGGUUAAGUCCGCUAACGAGCGCAACCCGCGCUGUGUGUUACAAGUGUCACACAGUACCGCCGGUAUUAAGUCGGAGGAAGGUGCGGAUGACGUCAAGUCAGCAUGACCUUUAUAUCCAGGGCUACACACACGCUACAAUGGUCAGCACAAUAGGUUGCCAAGCCGCAAGGCGGAGCCAAUCCUCCAAAGCUGGCCUCAGUUCAGAUUGCAGGCUGCAACUCGCCUGCAUGAAGUCGGAGUUGCUAGUAACCGCAGGUCAGCAUACUGCGGUGAAUACGUUCCCGGGGGGGAUUGUACACACCGCCCGUCAAGUCAUGGAAGCUGGCAACACCUGAAGCCGGUAUCCUAACCCGCAAGGGAGGGAGCUGUCAAAGGUGGGGGGGUCGGUGACUGGGACUAAGUCGUAACAAGGUA